CCGGUUCUGUGGCUGCGGUUCUGAAACUACACACACACACACUGAAACUUUAAGGAAACACUGGAAAUUUAAGAUGGCAGGUUCUUCCUGCCUGUAAUUUGGAUGUUCGUUGGUGUUUUGAUGUUCAGAGUGUUAGUACACGACCCGAAAGCUAACAUUCAAUACAUUUUGGGAAAAAAGCUCCAGUCUCCUCAUUUUUGGUGUCCUGACCGAUACCUCAGCGGUGUAUACUGAUAUAUAGUUAGAGCCAGAGUCUAGCAGUGUCAUUUCCUCUCCAACAUCUGGGACUGACACUUGACUUCCAACACUGAAAGCAUAUUCACAAACUUGUAAAGCAACUUCUAAAGCUGUUGAUCAACACGACACUUCAGAGGAAGAAAAAGACAGAUGUACAAACGCUGAGGUGAGAGCUUCAUCUUUCUCCAGUUGUUUUUUAGGUAUGUGUGUUGUCUUAUG